GUGGGGAAUAUUGGACAAUGGGGGGAACCCUGAUCCAGCCAUGCCGCGUGUGUGAAGAAGGCCUUUUGGUUGUAAAGCACUUUAAGCGAGGAGGAGGCUACCGAGAUUAAUACUCUUGGAUAGUGGACGUUACUCGCAGAAUAAGCACCGGCUAACUCUGUGCCAGCAGCCGCGGUAAUACAGAGGGUGCAAGCGUUAAUCGGAUUUACUGGGCGUAAAGCGCGCGUAGGUGGCCAAUUAAGUCAAAUGUGAAAUCCCCGAGCUGAAAUUGGGAAUUGCAUUCGAUACUGGUUGGCUAGAGUAUGGGAGAGGAUGGUAGAAUUCCAGGUGUAGCGGUGAAAUGCGUAGAGAUCUGGAGGAAUACCGAUGGCGAAGGCAGCCAUCUGGCCUAAUACUGACACUGAGGUGCGAAAGCAUGGGGAGCAAACAGGAUUAGAAACCCCUGUAGUCC
rnacentral:rRNA from 1 species